rnacentral:rRNA from 1 species
UACGGAGGGUGCGAGCGUUGUCCGGAAUCAUUGGGCGUAAAGGGCGCGUAGGUGGCCCGGUCAGUCUUUGGUGAAAGCGCGGGGCUCAACCCUGCGUCGGCCAGGGAUACUGCCGCGGCUCGAGCACUGUAGAGGCAGGCGGAAUUCCGGGUGUAGCGGUGAAAUGCGUAGAUAUCGGAAGGAACACCGGUGGCGAAAGCGGCGCGCUGGAUCUCUUCUGACGCUGAGACGCGAAAGCGUGGGGAGCAAACAGG